CUGCCUCCUCAAAAUGAAGCUGCCUGCACUGCUGUUGGUGCUGCUGUUCACGAUUUCUGCUUCCAGAGGUGAUGUUGUGAUGACCCAAACUCCACCCUCCUUGUCUGUCAGCCCUGGAGAUCAAGUCUCCAUCUCUUGCAGGUCUAGUAAGAGCCUCCUACUAAGUAGUGGAAACACAUAUUUGCAUUGGUACCUGCAGAAGCCAGGCCAGUCUCCACAGCUCCUGAUCUACAAGGUUUCCAACCGGUAUUCUGGGGUGCCAGACAGGUUCAGUGGCAGCGGGUCAGGCACAGACUUCACACUCAAGAUCAGCAGAGUGGAGCCUGAGGAUGUAGGAGUAUAUUACUGCUUGCAAGCUUCAUAUGCUCCUCCCACAGUGAUUCAGACUCUAACAAAAACAUCCUUGCUUGGGGUGGCUCAGCUGCCAAAUGUGUUACUUAUCUGUAUGAGAGAUUUGCUGUGGUACUCCAGCUUAUUGCUUGCAGCUGAAGGAUUCGAAGCAUGCACCCCUGCCUUGGAUACACCUCAAAGAUCAUGCAUCUUAGUUUUCUUCAGCUGCAAAAACAAUACAAUUUCCUCAGGAGAAGGAUGAACAAGCACAUUCUCAGCAACCAUAAAUGAUGGGCAUAAAGCUGGGCGAACACCCAUUCUGAUCCAACAGCCCUGUUUGUUUUCAUCACUCAAAAUUAUCCAA